rnacentral:misc_RNA from 1 species
GAGUGACAAGGACCUAUUUAUGAAAGAAGUGAAGGAUGAUUAUCUUAAGGAAGCAGACAUGAAGAUCAAAGCUGCAAUUGGAUUUCGCCAUGUUAUUGACCUUCUUUCUUCUGCACAGAAGUUGAUUGUUGGUCAUAAUUGCUUCUUGGAUAUUGCACACAUAUACAGCAAAUUCUUUGGCCCCCUUCCCCAAACUGCUGAAGGAUUCGUUUCCUCUUUUCACACAUACUUUCCGCACAUUGUUGAUACCAAAGUACUCUUGAAUUCCAAUAGUGUACUCCCUCAAAGGAUGAAGAAAUCAAACACAUCACUCUCAUCAGCCUUUUCAUUACUCUGUCCACAAAUGGCUGUGAAUUCUAAUAAAAUUUCUGAUUUGGCUUUCCGUCCAUUUGUGAAUGUGGAGGUUCAAGUGGAUGAUACGAGGUCUUCCAACUGGAGUUCCGGAAUCAAACAUGAAGCUGGAUAUGAUGCUUUUAUGACAGGUUGUGUAUUUGCCCAGGCAUGCAGUCAUCUAGGCAUUGAUUUUAAGCUCCAUUCGUCCUCCUCAGAGAAUUUGGCCCAAAAUGAAAAACUCCAGAAGUACAUCAACCUUCUAUAUCUCAGUUGGAUUCAUGGGGAC